GUGGGCGUGGCUCAACGGUUAGAGCACUGGACUGUGGCUCCAGGGGUUGAGGGUUCGAUUCCCUCCGUCCACCCCA
rnacentral:tRNA from 1 species